UAUUUUAAACAAAAUUGAUCUGGGUAACUAAUAUCUACACUGGUGGCAAUAUUAAUAGGCGCGUCACUCUUCUGUUAAUAUACAGUUCUGCUGUUAAUUUGAUUGCCUCUCACAAAAAGCUUUUUAAUGUAUUGCUCUCUAAAGCUUAGCACCAGCCCGGCCGGUCAUUGUGGAAAGUUAGUAGUGAUUGAAAAUCAGGUGAUUUCUGGAGAAGCUGGACGGGCGUGCAACGACGGCUGCUUGUGGCGUGAUUAGUGAAUGCGCAACACUGCCGGUAUACAUUCAUUCACUCCACUGUUUUCAGAAACAGAAAUCCAUAUACAUGCAGACGUAAAUUUCCAUUUGUGUGUGUGCCAACCGAAUACAUACCUAAAAAUCAGGCGAUUCCUCGACAGCUGUUUUUGUGAGUCAAAAGCAACUUGCACGGGUUCUUUUGACUGGUGAUGGGAGCGCUAAAAGUCGAUGAGCAGUUUUUGGGCAGUCGGUCCUUA